CUGGCACCCUGAAAUCACUCUUGAUUUUUAUAUGCAAAAAAAAAAACAAAAUAAAAUACAAAAAAAAAUAAAAUAAAUUACAAAAAAAUACAGAAAAAAGAAGAAAUUGUUUUGUCAUAAAGGGAGAGAUAUUUACGUGUGUCUUCAACCAUCAACCACCAGCCAACGCACCAAAUCAGACAUAGAAGACCCUCGAUGUAGAAAACUGAUUGCCAUCCAAAAUUAUGAGCGAGAAUUCCCGUCAAAAGUAAUGAUAUCACUGUUCCUAGAGCAGUUCCUAUCAAAGAAAUAGGAUAUUAUAAGAAAGACACUUCUCCUAUUUACCUGCAUAAAUGAUGGACGUCAAUACACUUCUUUCAUUUGGUGGAGCCCAUUUAGAAACCAUAACAUGCAUCGCGGGAAAUGUGACACCCUGAAAAUGUAAAUCUUGAUUAAAAU